rnacentral:rRNA from 4 species
AGGGGAGCCGGAGGGAAACCGAGUCUUAAUUGGGCGUUAAGUUGCAGGGUAUAGACCCGAAACCCGGUGAUCUAGCCAUGGGCAGGUUGAAGGUUGGGUAACACUAACUGGAGGACCGAACCGACUAAUGUUGAAAAAUUAGCGGAUGACCUGUGGCUGGGGGUGAAAGGCCAAUCAAACCGGGAGAUAGCUGGUUCUCCCCGAAAGCUAUUUAGGUAGCGCCUCGUGAAUUCAUCUCCGGGGGUAGAGCACUGUUUCGGCUAGGGGGCCAUCCCGGCUUACCAACCCGAUGCAAACUGCGAAUACCGGAGAAUGUUAUCACGGGAGACACACGGCGGGUGCUAACGUCCGUCGUGAAGAGGGAAACAACCCAGACCGCCAGCUAAGGUCCCAAAGUCAUGGUUAAGUGGGAAACGAUGUGGGAAGGCCCAGACAGCCAGGAUGUUGGCUUAGAAGCAGCCAUCAUUUAAAGAAAGCGUAAUAGCUCACUGGUCGAGUCGGCCUGCGCGGAAGAUGUAACGGGGCUAAACCAU